CCUACGGGUGGCAGCAGUGAGGAAUAUUGGUCAAUGGGCGCAAGCCUGAACCAGCCAAGUCGCGUGAAGGAUGACUGUCCUACGGGUUGUAAACUUCUUUUGUAAAGGAAUAAAGUGAGGCACGUGUGCCUUUUUGUAUGUACUUUAUGAAUAAGGAUCGGCUAACUCCGUGCCAGCAGCCGCGGUAAUACGGAGGAUGCGAGCGUUAUCCGGAUUUAUUGGGUUUAAAGGGUGCGUAGGUGGAUUGUUAAGUCAGUGGUAAAAUUCCGGGGCUCAACCUCGGCGAGCCGUUGAAACUGGCUGUCUUGAGAGGGCGAGAAGUAUGCGGAAUGCGCGGUGUAGCGGUGAAAUGCAUAGAUAUUGCGCAGAACUCCGAUUGCGAAGGCAGCAUACCGGCGGCGAUCUGACGCUGAGGCACGAAAGCGUGGGUAUCGAACAGGAUUAGAUACCCUUGUAGUC
rnacentral:rRNA from 1 species